AGAGGUGAGGCGAGGUGGGAGCCAGCGCAUGCCCCAGGCGUCCUGCUGACCAGGCAGACUGUCCUCAGAUGGCUUCUCCUGGCCCGGGGUUCGAUGCACGGGGGCUGUCGUCUGUUUACUAACCUGCCUGGCGUCAGAGCAGUUCACACGGGGUGUGCCUGGCGUGUCCACUGGAUGCCCAGCUCAGCCGGACCAGCGCCUCCCCUGCCUGCCAGAGGCCGUCCUGCCUGGCAGUUGGGGGUGUGGACUCCAGGGACACAUUGCUGGAGUUCGACCCCGGCUUGACUACUCGUUCAGGAGGCUUUGGACAAGUCACUGCACCUCCUCGGGCCUCAGUUUACCCUUUACAAAACUGGGAAACCAGUAGUUCUUAACUCACAGGCGUGUGAUGAGAGUUAAAUAAGUUAGUAUAUGUAGGAUUCUCAGAAGAGGGCCCAUCUGUGUUCCCGGCAUCUGUUACAUAUGAUCAUCAUUACCCCAUUCUUGAUCCAGUUCUGAAGUGGCCUAAGAAGGUGAUAAAUGUUAGCGGGUUUAGGAUAUGUGAUUGGCCAAUUAAAAAUGGUUAUUGUGUCAGUCCAACCAGGUUU